rnacentral:rRNA from 1 species
CCUACGGGUGGCAGCAGUGGGGAAUAUUGGGCAAUGGGCGCAAGCCUGACCCAGCAACGCCGCGUGAAGGAAGAAGGCUUUCGGGUUGUAAACUUCUUUUAAGAGGGAAGAGCCGAAGACGGUACCUCUUGAAUAACCCACGGCUAACUACGUGCCAGCAGCCGCGGUAAUACGUAGGUGGCAAGCGUUGUCCGGAUUUACUGGGGGUAAAGGGCGUGCAGCCGGGAAGACAAGUCAGAUGUGAAAGCCCGCGGCUCAACCGCGGAACUGCAUUUGAAACUGUUUUGCUUGAGUACCGGAGAGGUCAUCGGAAUUCCUUGUGUAGCGGUGAAAUGCGUAGAUAUAAGGAAGAACACCAGUGGCGAAGGCGGAUGACUGGACGGCAACUGACGGUGAGGCGCGAAAGCGUGGGGAGCAAACAGGAUUAGAUACCCCAGUAGUC